AACGUAGGAGACAAACGUUAUCCGGAUUUACUGGGCGUAAAGGGCGUGUAGGUGGUUUCGUAAGUCUGGCGUGAAAUUUUUCGGCUUAACCGGGAAAGGUCGUCGGAUACUGCGGAGCUAGAGGACGGUAGAGGCGUGUGGAAUUCCGGGUGUAGUGGUGAAAUGCGUAGAGAUCCGGAGGAACACCAGUGGCGAAGGCGACACGCUGGGCCGUACCUGACACUGAUGCGCGACAGCAUGGGGAGCAAACAGG
rnacentral:rRNA from 1 species